rnacentral:misc_RNA from 1 species
UCGGAUCGUUUUAGAAACAUCAGUGGCCAACAGAUCGCCAGAUCGUUGAGCUGCAUUGGCGGGAUUUCGCCGUCUUCGUUUCUCUUUCUUCGCGGACGAACACGCGCCGGGGCUGCGCUGUGCGAUUGCAUUUGGCGCUGGUCGCCGAUGCAUGCACGCAAGACCCUAAUCCUGAAAGGGAUAGCGUUCGGGCUUGUAGCUCAGUUGGUUAGAGCGCGCGCUUGAUAAGCGUGAGGUCGGAAGUUCAAGUCUUCCCAGGCCCACCACUUUCAUCGAGUGAGCAUUCGUCUUCUGGUUACGGGGCCAUAGCUCAGCUGGGAGAGCGCGUGCUUUGCAAGCAUGAGGUCGUCGGUUCGAUCCCGUCUGGCUCCACCAGAUGGUUUGAUCACCGGGGAUCUUGACCGUCGUCCGCGAAACAUCACUUCGCAUCUUGCUAGUCUGGAUAGACAGCAAGUUGCGUGUUUUCUGACAUCGUAAAGAGGAGAUCGAUCCGAGUUGGGUCGUGCAGCAUAUCGUUGCGCGAGCCUUCAUUAUCUCCGGAUCAUUUCGGCGCUCGCUUUCAGCCGUGAGGUUGAAUGCGGGUUGUAAAUGAUCCUUUUAGCGAAGCUUGACCGCCUCGCUAUCGGAACGAUCUUACGAAGCAAGCUGGUCUUUCUAGUCAAUGUCCGGCUGUACGUAGCAUUCAUCGAGGGUGCGCGCCUGAGACUUCCGUCUCUUGGCAAUCGUACGGACAACAUUCUGCCGAGUGUGUGGACAUUGAUAAUGAGAGCAAUCAAGUGCCUUAAGGGUGUUCGGUGGAUGCCUUGGCGCUGAGAGGCGAUGAAGGACGUGCUACGCUGCGAUAAGCCGUGGGGAGCUGCGAAGAAGCUUUGAUCCGCGGAUUUCCGAAUGGG